GAAGUAUUAAGAAAGAUAGAAAGCUUCUAACUUUUUAUCAAGCGGUUAAAUUCCGUUUAUACUUCU
rnacentral:tRNA from 1 species